UGAAGGACUGACGGGUGGAACGACACAGAGGAGCCCCAGAAACACCCACCAUGCUGCUGCCCGGAAGAGGCAGACGCGGAAGGCCAUGCGCUCUGGGACCUCAUCCAUGGGAAGCGCACAGAGGCGAGGGCUGCCGGGGGCUGGGAGGAGGCGGCACAGGAGCGCCGGCUGUGGGGAUGGUGUUUCUCCCGUGGGCGGUGGGCCAGCUGACCCUGGCACUGCACCACAAUGGGAGUGGACCGGAUGCCGCUGAACUGCCUGGACUUUCGAGGGGUAAAUUCCAAGCUCUGCUCUGAGGCCUGACCGUCCCUGGCCACCAAGUGUCUGCUGACUGAGAGCUCCAGCUCUGGAGAGGUGCCCAGUACCUGGUGAGCAGAGGGACCUGAAGGAGCAGGUGCCUCUUCCUCAGACAUCUGCAGUCACUUCACAGUGAAUGAGGCUCCAGCCGGGUGCCCUGAGAAGUGGCCAGCAUCCCACCCGGGAGAAGACCGCACAGCCACAGCCAACGUGGAGCUCUAACUCAGGGCUCCAGCCUCCAGCCCAGUCCUUUUCCUUGAGUAGGGAUGACCCCCACAGUGGCUUCUCCACAUUGCUUAGGUGGGGAGCACAUGUGGUGAAGACGGGCAGCCUGCAGGUGCCUGCUAUGCGUGGGGGCCACGGCCGAUGGAAAGCUGAAUCAGGAGUGAAAACAGAGGAAGUGUUUCUGAAAAUAUAACAAGUCAGUGGGAAAUCAA
rnacentral:lncRNA from 1 species